ensembl:misc_RNA 7SK 7SK RNA
AGAUGUGAGGGCCAUGUGCCUGAAACACCAGUCACCCCGUAGACAGCCAGGAUUGAUUCAGCUGAUCUGGCUGCUAGGCGGGUAUCCCCCUAGUGAGUGGGGAACCUCACCACUCCAUGUGUGUCCCUCCCAAAGCUGUGCUCUCAGAGGACAACCUUCCCAAUAGGGGAAGACUAUUCUUUGGUCAAGGGUAUAUGAAUAGCUGUGCUUCCCUGCUAGUCUUCAAGCAAACUCUCAAGGUCCAUUUGCGGGAGAUUGUAGGGUAGCCAAGCAUCCAAGAAUCCAGACAUAUCCAAGUGAGGUGCUGCAUGUGGUAGUCUGCCUUUCUUU